rnacentral:rRNA from 1 species
CAGCCGCCGCGGGAAUACGUAGGUCCCGAGCGUUGUCCGGAUUUAUUGGGCGUAAAGGGAGCGCAGGCGGUUUAGUAAGUCUGAAGUUAAAGGCAUUGGCUCAACCAAUGUAUGCUUUGGAAACUGUUAGACUUGAGUGCAGAAGGGGAGAGUGGAAUUCCAUGUGUAGCGGUGAAAUGCGUAGAUAUAUGGAGGAACACCGGUGGCGAAAGCGGCUCUCUGGUCUGUCACUGACGCUGAGGCUCGAAAGCGUGGGGAGCAAGCAGGAUUAGAUACCCGCGUAGUCCCUGUCUCUUAUACA